AUUCUCGACAGAAAAAUUGACAUUUCAGUGCGUUUUGAGCUAUUUUGAAAGAAAAUAUAGCGAGUUCCCUUGCAACGAGAAUAAUCCGAUACCGCCGGCGAGCCGUGUUCAUUAAUCUUACAACUUGCAAAUUUGAGUUGAUUUUUCCGUCACUUUACAUAUUUUGAUGUAUCUGUCACAGCUUUUUAAAAUGCAAAUUCCACUGGAAACAACGGGUCUUCUGGAGGAUACAAGCACUUGGGCUGGUCCCAACCACCUACACCCGGGAUGAGGAGAAGAGAUUUCAUACUCGACAAGCGAUGGCCUUUCCAUUUCUUUCACGAGCAGAAAUGAUACCGAGUUCCAAUGACUUGGGCAUCAGAGCAGCAGUCCCUUGAUCGAUGAGCUCUUUGAGACCACCUGAAUUGCAAGCUCUGUAUGGCCAGUUUUUGUGUGACAAAAUAAAAGAUAAGGGUUGAAAAUCCCUCCAGCUAAGUUAGGGAUCAUGUAAUUGCCAUGGAAACCAAAUAUAGUAGUGUAUAACAGG